GGGUACUACGUACUGGCUCAAGGAACGAACGCUGGCGGCAUGGAUUAGGCAUGCAAGUCGAACGAAGCAGCAAUGCUUAGUGGCGCAAGGGUGAGGAACACGUGAGUGACCUACCCACAAGUUUGGAACAGCUCCUGGAAACGGGAAUUAAUACCGGAUGUGAUCGAUGAACUGCAUGGUUUAUCGAUUAAGCAGCAAUGCGCUUGUGGAUGGGCUCGCGUCCCAUUAGCUAGUUGGUGAGGUAACGGCCCACCAAGGCGAUGAUGGGUAGCUGGUCUGAGAGGACGACCAGCCACACUGGGACUGAGAACUGCCCAGACUCCUACGGGAGGCUGCAGUCGAGGAAUUUUGGGCAAUGGACGAAAGUCUGAACCCCCAGCAAUGCCGCGUGCGGGAUGAAGGUCUUCGGAUUGUAAACCGCUGUUUGGAGGGACGAAAAUUGACGGUACUUCCAGAGGAAGCCACGGCUAACUACGUGCCAGCAGCUGC
rnacentral:rRNA from 1 species